rnacentral:lncRNA from 1 species
AUUUAAAAAAUUAAGAGAAAGAUGCAAAAUAUUUUUAAAGACUUUGUGUAAAAAAUUGGAUCAAAAUGAAUUAAGAUGAGCGAGAAGUUAAAUUGGAAAAGAAAUGAAAUAAAUGAAAAGAAAAUAAAAAGAAAUUAAAAUGAAAUAAGGCGCCAACGGCUACCAAAUUCAAAAAAAAAUUGCGUUGGAAGGAUUUGAUUGGAUGGAGUUUGAAUCUU